GAUAGAUAGGUAGAUAGAUAGAUAGAUAGAUAGAUAGAUAGAUAGAUAGAUAGAUAGAUAGAUAGAUAGAUAGAUAGAUAGAUAGGUAGAUAGAUAGGUAGAUAGAUAGAUAGAUAGAUAGAUAGAUAGAUAGAUAGAUAGAUAGAUAGAUAGAUAGAUAGAUAGAUAGAUAGAUAGAUAGAUAGAUAGAUAGAUAGAUAGAUAGAUAGAUAGGUAGAUAGAUAGAUAGAUAGAUAGAUAGAUAGAUAGAUAGAUAGAUAGAUAGAUAGAUAGAUAGAUAGAUAGAUAGAUAGAGAUAGAUAGAUAGAUAGAUAGAUAGAUAGAUAGAUAGAUAGAUAGAUAGAUAGAUAGAUAGAUAGACAGAUAGAUGGGCCAAACGCAGACAGAUGGGACUAGUGUAAAUUGAACAUGUUGGCUUUGUGGGCAAGUUGGGCCAAAGGGCCUGUUUCCAUGCUCUUAGACUCUAUGACUCUCUGACAUGGACUACAAGAUAGGACUUGGAUGUACUUUGUUUCAGCCUAAAAUUGCCAGUGAUCACCAAAGGUACAGUCAGAUUUACCUUGUUGUAAAGCUGAAUGCUGACAACCUCACAGCUUAUAGUACAGCAAAAUCAUGACCAUUAAACCGAGACUCCAGUUGGCUGCUCAGCUGACAUUAGAGAUUCAACAGUAUUAUUUGAAGAAGGGGAGGAGAAUUCUCAGUUACCUGGUGUUCUGGUCAAUAAUCUCCUCAACCAACACCACCAGCAGGGAUAAGAUAAAUGACUGCAUUGUUGUUUGUUGAACCUUGCAACAUGCAAAUUGCAGGCCCUGUUUAUCUAUAUAACACAGUGUCCAGACUUCAAAAAGUAAUUUAUUGCCUGUGAAAUCUUUUCAGGAUGUCCCUGCAACACAAAAGAGAAUGUGUAAAUUUAACAUCAUUCUUUGCUUCCCACAUGUUAGACACAAGUUCUUAGCAGUCAGAAAGCAAAACUAAAUUACAGAAUGUCAUGUAAAACAUCAACAAAAGAUAGGUGUAAAUGCCAAGUAAUAUUGCAUAAUUUAACUUAUGGAAUAUGGAAUUCCAUUUGAUAUCCCUGCAUCUUCUAUUCCUGUUUUAAACCUCGCUUAUUAAUUUGAAGGAAUCAGCAGAAAUUAGUGCUGUAACAUAAUUGAUAAUCGUUGUCGUGAUCUCCUGAGACAAGGGAUUUCCUGGCCAUGCGAUCUACGUAAACAGUGAGUACAGUACCUGGAAGCACUGGGAAGGACUUUAUUGAGCUUAGAAACAUAUUCAUAGGGAUGGCCGGCAGGUAUGAUUGAAGUGCAGAUAACUAUGGCCCGACCACUCUCCCUAACAUUCUAUUGGCCAAUGUAGAGUCUCUAGAAAAUAGGAUUGACGACUUAAAACAAGAGCCCUUUACUGAAAGGGGCAUGAGGGAAUUUUUGCAUACUGUAUUCCACAGAGAAUGGCUCACCCCAGCUCCCCAACUCAGGCCUCCAGCUGAAGGUUUCUCGAUCUACCUCACUUACUGGAGGGCCCUUUGUUUUCUUCAUUAUCUCCCACCACCGCUUCUCUGCAAUUUAAAUGUUGCCUAUUUUUAAAACCUUUCUAGUUCUGAUGAAACUCAUCAAUUUGAAUGUUAUCUCUGUUUCUGUCUCCACAGAUGUUGCCUGACCUGCCAAAUAUUUACAAUGUUUAUUGUUUCUAUAUUUUGCUUUACAAUAUUAUCUCUUUGAUCUAUUUUUCUUUUGUUUGUUUGAACAAACAUGGAGUUACCUGUGAAUAUUCGAUCCAGAUAAAUCACUACAUUGGAUCUGCAGAUACUGGAGAUUGGAAACAAAAAAAGGAGAUGCUGGAGGCAUUUAGUGGACCUGGAAGCACCUAUGGAGAGAGAAACAGACUAUGAGAGUUCAUCGAGCCAGCCUUGUCCAACCCACAGAUGCCUCCUGAGCAUCUGCAGCCUUCCAGAACUACCCAAUUCUGAUGUAAACUGAAAAGACUGGUUAUCUGAAGUGGAUAUGUUUUCACAUAGAUGGACACAAAAAGCUGGAGUAACUCAGCGGGACAGGCAGCAUCUCUGGAGAGGAGGAAUGGGUGACGUUUCGGGUCGAGCCCUUUCCCCAGCCACACAUACAGUAUAUCCCAUUGAAUGGGGCACAGUCUUUGUUUACAAAGAUGCCACCCUGCAGUAUGAGUCAUAAAUGGAGUGUUUCUUGUUGAGGAAAUAUGAGUCAACAGGCAGCUCAACUUCCAAUAUUUCGAUAUUGAUGUAUAGUCCAAAUUCUCCUGACAUUUUCUGAUAUUAUGCAAAUAAAGUACAAAUAAUUAGAUGAUUCAGUUUUGAAAAUAGUAAAGCUUUUCUUCCCUCUAUAAUAUCAAAUAAAGUAAAAUAUUUGUCAUGACUAAAAUAAACCAGAUGUAAUCGGACUUCAGAAAUGUUUACACAUCCUGGCUGUGUUUGUUUUUGGUCUAGAUGAUCUGAUCAUAAUAUGCCCUUGAUGAUUGUAUUUUAAAUGUCCACCACAUAGAUUCAAUAUUCCAAAGCAAGCUUUGAUUUUCUGUUUAAAGUCAGAACACAAUUAUCAGCAUGAAAGUGCCAUGGCGUGUUUUCAGUCGUUAAUUCUUCAACCCAUGUAUUUUGCCUUUCCUCCCAUGUAAAAAAAAUAAUUCAAUACAAAAUAACCUUAAAAGGAUUGUGUUAGGCAGGUUGAUUAACUGCUUUAGCGCUGGCUUCCAGCAACCAAUCCAAUAUCUGUUGGUGGGCAGUGGUCUUUCAGGACAGGCUGCAAGUCCAGGUUGAGGUGAUAAAUUAUCCAAUGAAUGCACCAUGUGUGUCCAGCUGGCACCAGCAUGUCAGAAGAUUUGCAUCCAGCUGUUUAACUUGGCCUGCUGCAAGGCCCUCAUUCUCGGUUUGUUUGGAGUCUGUAUUGAAGCAGUGGGAGUUGAAACUCCGUAGAUCAAGUUUAUUUUAUAGGUUGCCAUAAUGUGCUUACGGUUAUGGGAAUCCAUGCAGCUUUGUGAGAUAACAAGGUCCGGAUUAAAUAUUGCUGUAAUCAUACAGAAUUAUUUCACCUCUGUGUGUGUGCGUAGAAACAACUUGCUGCUGGCAAAAAUGCCGCAACCUACUUGAGGCCACGGGUACGCGGAGACCACUCACGAGAAUGAGGAAGAGUUACGAACAUCUCCUAUGACCUUGCGGCGACCAUGCUGCGAGUAUGAGUCAAGGGCAAACUCGGUAGAGGUCACCAAUUAGGUUGUGAAAGUGGGACUGGGUCUUAACAGACUACUCGCCUGCCUUUGCUUCUCUGUGUAUGUGUACUCUUUUAUUGCACGUCAACACUUGUUUGUUAAUUUAUUUUAUUCAAUUCUGAUUAAAGUUAAAUGUCUUGAAAUACUAUCUCCAUUUCUCACUCUGCAAAUGCUGAAUAACCCAUGGAGUGUUUCCUGCAAGCAGUAGAAAAGAGGAACUGCAGAUGUUGGUUAAUCCACAAAAGGACGCAAAGUGCUGUAGUAACUCAGCGGGUCAGGCAGCAUCUCUGGAGAAGAUGGAUGGGUGAUGCUUCGGGUCAAAACCCUUCUUCAGCCUCUUUUGUGUUUCCGGCAAACUUUGCUUCUGUUUUGUAUCCUCAGCCUUUGAAGCAUUUUUAAUUUAUACUACAAAAGAAUUGCCACGGCAUUCCAAAGACACUCUUCCAAAGAUACAGGUCUAUUACAUGUCAAUUGCUCCUCCAUGAAUGGUCAGAUAUUCAGACUUUUUAUAGAAAUGCUUUUAACAGGUUGAUUGGAAAGUGGCAUAGUGAAGGAAAAGAAUGAUUUCAAUCUGGGAUUAAUAUUCAAAAAGUAUAGACACAAGUAUAGUGCAGAUGCUGAUUUACAAAAAAGACACUAACUGCUGGAGGAACUCAGUGGGUCAGGCAACAUCUCUGGAGAACAUGGAUAGGCAAUGUUUUAGGUUGGGACUACAAGGGUCUAUUUUUCAGACUGAAGAUGAGUCCCAACUCAAAUCGUCACCUAUCCGUGUUCUUUGGAGAUCAUGCCUGACCCACUAAGUUACUCCUCCAGUUUGUGUCUAUACAGUAAAUCCUUGUUAUUACAGAUCUACAAUUGAUUUAGGUUAUAGCUGUCUGUCUCUUUAAGAACACAGGCUGCUAAUUACACUGUGGAAACAGCCUUUCAUAUUUUUACCUUGCAGCAACAAAAAUACAUUUUAGCUGUUAAAAAGAACUUUGUACACUCGGCAGGUUAGGCAGGUUGGUGUAAUUGGAAGGAGAAACAGUUAACGUUUAAGAUCAAUGUCCUUUUGCCCAGAACUCCAGGUGUGGGAAUCUCACUAAGAGCGGGACAGAGUUUCCGCAUCCUCUCACACCACCACCCCAAUGCCCCAGACCUCACAUUUUGUUCUCGAUCUCUGAAUGCAGGAAUCAGCAACAGCGGUUAUUGCCGUUCCCCAGCUGUGCUGCCCAGGUGGAGCCGGGCAGCCUUCUUGAGCCCAGCGCUCCGUGUGGUGAGGAAGGUCAGACUUGGGCUCUCAGC